AGCGUUCUCGCUCAAUACUGGACCAAUUUCAAAAAAUGUUGUUGACAUUACUCUUAGACACCAAUUUAUGGGAAAAUAGGCCUGCCCCAAAUCA